ACAAAGAGGAAGAGGAGGAGGAAGAGGGCAAGAAAGAGGAAGAGGAGGAGGAAGAGGAAGACAAAGAGUGGAAAUAUCUGAUGAAAUGCGAGCAACAGUCAUAGACCAUGUUCUUGUCCAUGGACUGACAAUGAGGGAAGCAGGACUUAGAGUGCAACCCAAUUUGAGCCGAUUUUCUGUGUCCACCAUAGAAAGGACAUUCAGAGAAGAGAACAGAAUUGCAAGGCUGCCACAUGCAGGUGGAAGGACACCUAUAUUCACUCGGGAGCAAGAGGCCGUUAUACUGGGCAUGGUCCUUCAACAUAAUCUAAUACAACUCAGAGAAAUCCAGGAACGAGUGAUACAAGACAACACACACUUCCAGGGAAUCAACAGUGUGAGCAUUUCCACAAUUGACCGUGUCUUCCAUCGAAACAAGGAUGCGAAUGAAACAAGUAUACAGAGUACCUUUUGAGCGCAACUCAUCAAGGGUGAAAGAAUUGUGCGCUCAGUAUGUGCAAAAAAUAUUUGACUUGGAAUCCUUGGACAGACCCCAUGAGUUCAUCUUUGUCGAUGAAGCAGGCUUCAAUCUAACGAAGAGGAGAAGGAGAGGCCGAAACAUGAUUGGACAGCGGGCCAUUGUUGAAGUCCCUGGUCAAUGAGGUGGCAAUGUCACAAUCUGUGCUGCUAUCAGCAACCAUGGUGUUCUGCAUCACCAUGUUACACUCGUGCCAUAUAAUACCCAGCUUCUUCUAAGAUUUAUUGCAAAUCUAAGAGAUAUUUUAUUUGAGCAGCAGGUUCAAGAGCAGCAGGGUCAAGAGCUAAAUGAGAAUCCCAUUCCCACCUAUGUGAUAGUGUGGGACAAUGUCAGUUUUCACUGAGCUGCUUAGGUAAGGGAAUGGUUAAACAUCAAUGGGCAGUUUAUGAACCUGUACCUCCCUCCAUACUCCCCUUUCCUGAAUCCGAUUGAGGAGUUUUUCUCCUCUUGGAGAUGGAAAGUUUAUGAUAGACAACCCUACACAAAAGUAAAUCUGCUGCAAGCCAUGGAUUUAGCCUGUGGUGACAUAGGUGAGGAAUCAUGUCAGGGCUGGAUACGGCACACAAGAGGCUUCUUCCCCCGUUGCCUCAAUAUUGCAUGUGACUUCGAUGUAGUGCUCUGGCCUGACCCAGCCCAAAGACAAGAGGCACAUUGAUUAUCACAUGUCUACUCCUUUAAUUUUUGAUUUUAUAUUACAGUACAUUGUAGGCUGUAUACUGUACAAUAAACAAAUUAUUUGGCCCUGAAGAUUGUGCUUUCCAUUUGUGAACAGUACUGACUGCUCAAUAGAUUUUGAAUGGUUGCAGGUUCAUAUAAACAAAUAACAAUAAUUACACUAUCACAGAGACCAAGGACAAGUUUAUGAGAUGCAGGGUACAGUACUGUAAAAAUAGUGGUAGAAGGAGGAAGAACCAAAAAACAUGCAAAGAGCAAAGCAGAGUAGUAAUUUCUGAUC